rnacentral:rRNA from 1 species
CUACGGGAGGCAGCAGUGAGGAAUAUCGCACAAUGGGGGGAACCCUGAUGCAGCAACGCCGCGUGGAGGAUGAAGAAUUUCGGUGUGUAGAGGUCGGGUCUCUGUCCAGCCCCUGACGGUCGCAUAUGAAUAAGCACCGGCUAACUCCGUGCCAGCAGCCGCGGUAAUACGGAGGGUGCAAGCGUUACUCGGAAUCACUGGGCGUAAAGGACGCGUAGGCGGGUUGGAAAGUCAGGUGUGAAAUCCUACAGCUUAACUGUAGAACUGCACUUGAAACUUCUAAUCUAGAGUAUGGGAGGGGGAGAUGGAAUUAGUGGUGUAGGGGUAAAAUCCGUAGAUAUCACUAGGAAUACCUAAAGCGAAGGCGAUCUCCUGGAACAUUCCUGACGCUAAGGCGUGAAAGCGUGGGGAGCAAACAGGAUUAGAUACCCUUGUAGUC